AUGUCAAUGAACAUUUAGGUUAUUUGCAGACAUACAGUUUACAAACACCGCUGCUGUGAACAUGUUUCCAAGUAUACAUGGAUGUAAGUUACUGCAGACUGUUUAUCUCUGUGUGAUUUUUCUGAGUCAUGGGAUAUGCUCAUUUUUGAUUCCAUAAAGCAAUGCCAAAUCAUUUUCCAAACUAGGUAUCCCAACUUAUUUUCCUAUCCAUGAUGCAUGAGUUAUCAUAGCUUCAUAUUCUUUUCAAUAUUCAUUGCUGUCUGACUUUUUAAUUUGUGCCCAUCUUUUGAAUCUGAUGGCAUCUGACAGAGGUUUGCAUUGUACUUUCUUCAUGGCCAAUAUGGUUGAACUUCUUUUCAUACACCAGUUGGCUACUGAGUUUCCUCUUCUGUGAAAUAACCUUGUAGUUAUUUCUGUUGUUUUAUUUCUGUUGUUUAUCUUUUGCUUGAUUUUCAGAGUUUUUUUCUUAAAAUAAAUUCUGAAGCCCUCUGCCACUUUGCUAGGGCUGGAGCAACAAGAAGACAUAAUUCCAUUUCCACCGUCUCUUUUUCUUCCAGUCCUCAAGGCUGCCAUUCUGCUUUAGUGCUCGCCUCAGCCCUGGUUGUGAAAGAUAACAGUAGUUAUGACAAUGUUUGAGCAGAUGAGAGUGAACAUGGCCAAGUUGCUCAAGGGUAUCGACAGGUACAAUUAAACUUGACCACCAUGGAGCACUAUGUAGAGACACAGGCCAAGGAGAAUGCCUAUGAUUGGGAAGCCAAUCUGGCUGUCUUAAAGCUAUACCAGUUCAACCCAGCCUUCUUCCAGACCACGGUCACUGCCCAGAUCUGCUGAAGGCCCUUACCAACCAGCCCCACAUCGACUUCACCCUGUGCAAGUGCAUGACUGACCAAGUGCAUCAAGAACGGCACAUCUGACAGACUUUAUAUCUGAGAGAUCUGCCACUUCUGGGCUUUCCGGCAAGCCCUGGGUGAAAACAUGGACCUCUUAGAAGGCAUAACUGGCUUUGAAGACUCUGUUUGAAAAUGUAUCUACCAUGUCGUGGGUAUUACCUACAAGCACGUUGACUACUAGCUGCUGACCGAAAUGCUUGGGGAUCUGUCAGACAACCAGCUGAAGAUGUGGAUGAGCAAAUAUGGCUGGAGCGCCGAUGAGUCAGGGCAGAUCUUUAUUUGUAGCCAGGAAGAAAGUAUUAAGCCCAAGAAGAUUAUAGAGAAGAUCGACUAUGACAGUGUGUCCAGCAUCAUGGCCUGCUCUCAGUAACUGCAGACAUUUAAUAAAGAUUUGUCGACU